GGUGAAUGAGGCUGCUCUCUGCUGGAACUCUGCCUCAAUCAUUCCAGAAAUAUGAAGAUGGGUUGUUUGUAAGAAGAAAAAGGGAUGCAAACUGCUGAGGAAAAGGGACCUUCUGAACACGAGUUUAUGUCUGGAGAACUCUCCUGAAGCAAGAACAUCAUUGAUAAAGGACAUGGCUCAAAUCCUAUGAUGAUGUCAAUAAUGAAUAACAAUUCCAGUCCAGGUAUUAUCUUUGGCUCAGAUACUUGAAUGCCUCGAUAUCCUUUGGGACCAGCUCCUGAGUGAUUGGAGCAUUAACGGCACUGCAUUAAGUUCUCCCCAUCUCUGCCCGAGGGACAGUAAUCCAUGCCUCCUACCUGCAUGAAGAAUGCCUUCAUCAGCAAACAACAGUUAUUCUGAAGCUGGAAGCUCUCGGUCUUCUUGUUAAGCUGUUUCACUUCGUAUAAAACAAACGCUCCUUCACACAGAGAGGGAACCAGUACUGCCUUCUACUGGAGUUUCCUAACCACUCGUCUAUACAUCCAUCUUCAUCUACUUUCUGACACAACAGCAUCCUCUGCAACAGGGCAGCCCGCAUCCUGCAAGACUAUCCUAAUGGCAAAGCUAUGAGGGGAUAAGGUAGAAAAAAAUCCUCCUCCUGUAUGUGUAUGUGGAGGGGGCAGAGGCUUAUCUGGCUAUUCCUGCACUUCAUGCAAGCAAGCUCUUGUUCUAUGACUCCCAGAAGGGCCUAAAUAGGAGGCCGAAAGAAGGGGACCAAUACAGCAUAACAGUGCCAAGACUUAGGCAGAUGUACACGUCCAGCUACAGAAAUUUCAGUUUUCUGUGCUUUUAGGAUCAGGCCUGAGUGUCAUUGUUGCCAGUGUUUUCCCAUAUCGGACUUAGACAACUAGAAAAGGCAUGGGAGUACCUCAUUUUCCCUUCAGAAUCUGAACCUUAAUGUACAGCAUAUUAAACUGUAAAGCAGCUGGACAAGUAUUGGGAUUGACAUCAGAAUGAGCUCAUGCAUUCACUCUUUCAGCAAGGAGCAAAAGUUUCAGUAAGUUGUGAAUUUGAAGAUAUUCUCAUUUUAAUCAUGACAUAAUUUACUUUGUUCAGAAAGACCCAAGCGAUGUUAAGCAACUACAUAUAUAAGGAAUACU